rnacentral:rRNA from 1 species
GACGAACCGUGCGAACGUUGUUCGGAAUCACUGGGCUUAAAGGGCGCGUAGGCGGCUUACAAAGCCAGGGGUGAAAUCUUGCGGCUUAACCGUAAUCAGCCUCUGAUACUGGUAGGCUCGAGGGAGGUAGGGGUAUGUGGAACUUCUGGUGGAGCGGUGAAAUGCGUUGAUAUCAGAAGGAACGCCGGUGGCGAAAGCGACGUACUGGACCUCUUCUGACGCUGAGGCGCGAAAGCUAGGGGAGCAAACGGG